ACACAUAAUAUGUUUUUAAUGCCCUGAGCCUCAAAGCUGAGUGUGAUGGUAGCCAAAUGUCCUGGCACUGGAGCAUUUCUCUAAUACAGAAGCUGCAGCCCUGACCUGAGACCCCAAAUUACUCCUGUGGUGAUAUGGAAACCUGAGGGAACUGCAUCUGGUGAAUCUUGAAGAUCUGUGCCUGAGAAAAGCUUAACCUUUCCUUGCGUGAGCAGCUGCCUGGUGCUCUGUGGAUGUUUAACCAGUGAACUGCUUGGCAAUAAAGGGCUCUGCAAGAGGAGCUGAAUGAUCGGGAGUUGGAAAGAACUGCUCGGGCCCUCGGGGGAGGGAAUGGAAGAGGCACGAAAGCAUCCUCAGGCAACACAGCUUUUGAGGGAGGAGACUGAGGGAGGAGCCUGGUGAGCCUGACCUGGGACCACAGAGGAUCUUGGAGAACAUCCAGCACCUUUGGAGCUGACACCCAGGGCAGCCAGAUGGGCUCUCCCCACCUCAUGGCGUUGGGUUUCCUGCUCCUGGCUGUUGCAGCUCUCCAUCCAGAUAUUGCCAUGGCCAGUGAUCCCCCUGCUGAGAGGACACAUGACUCUUCCUCUGGCAAAACAACUGUGACAGUCUACUGCUGUAAGGACUGUGAAAUCAGCAAAUGUAAAACAGGCAGUUUUGAAAGAUUUACAAAAAUCGCUGAAACAGAAGAGAAGGAGUUUUCAAAUGGAAUAAUUGAUUUGGUGACCAGGGAAACACACAUCCUUAUGUGCUUUCAGCAAGCAAAUACUUUUCCUGAAGGAAUUUAUGGCAUCUUCUGGAUAAAACCCGGGGGAUUAGGACACUCGUGUGCCACCCUGAAUUUUACAGCUUUUUCAGAAAAUGAGAGAGGUAGCAACAGUAUUGAGGAGAAUAAAAUUUGCUGUGAAGCCGAAACAAAUGUCUGGAAGUCCAACCCUACACUGAAUUGCUACACUAAAGUGUCAGGUGCAGAACACCAAAAAUCAACAGCUGACAACCCUGGCAAAGAAAUUCCAGGUUAAUAUCUCUACAUGUUUGUUUUCCCUUUACUUUGAGAGUGUUUUGCCCAGAGAGCUUGAUGUGAACAGUGUUUUACAUGGAGCAGUAGAUACAGGGAUGCAGAGGGAAGGUGGUACAUGAUGGGUGUGCAACAAGUUCCCAAGAAUUUCCCUUAUUAGUAAGUGAUAAAUGAGACUUUGCUUCCAGGCUAAGUCACAUAAAGUUAUGUUUGUAUUCAGAUUUCUUUCAUGGUGGAAAUCCCUGUUGUCUUCCUUAGGUCAUGGACAAAGAGGUCUUUAGAAACCAGUCAAAGUGAAUUUCCUUAAUGGCCUUUGAACCCAUCAUUAAGGAUGGCUCUCACACCCCUUGGUUUAGGGUUUCUUGGAUGAGGAAAAGGUUCAUAGGUAUCUGUUGUGGUGGGGAGUCAAGAAUCAGCUUUGAAUGUUGAUGAAGUCAGCACUGUUACAGGUAUCUGCUUUAAGAUAUCCUGAGCCAGAGGCUAUUUGUUCUCUCAUUCACAGGUUCCCUCUCUCUUUAUCAGCUGGUGUGGGGGAUUUUGCUCCUGUACCAGGCUCCGUUUCCUCAGGGUGGUGCUUAUGAGGCAGGCUCAUGGCUUGGCAUACCUGCUUGAUUCACUGGGCUGCUCUUUAUUUUCUUCUACUCUCCAGGUAAUCCUGAAUUUUCCACCAGCAUCAUCCUCCUCACAUUGCUGCUGUUUCUUGUGCUUUGUGCAACAAUGCUCACCGUGUAUUGCUGUCGGCGGCAUUCGACCAGUAAAGGUACUGUCUGACAAAUUGUUGGUUUCCUGUGGGUUCCACGCCUGGUGGUGGGAAAAGCAUAUGGGGUUUUCUUCCUGGAUCUCACCUCCAUUUUGUUGUCUGGAUGGGUUUGUUAUGUAAAAUAAGCACAGAAUAAAUUUCCCCACUGCUUCCUUCCUGAAGUGAGGAGGAAGCAAUGGCAGGGCUCAGCCUUCCCUCUGUGGCAUCCUGGAGUGGUCCCAGACUGGGCAGCUCCCCCUGCUGAGGCAUGUCCCAGCCCAGGAGACUGAUGGACAUCCAGGUGUGGGCUGACAGGCCCUUCAGGAGAAUGGUUCCCACUCACAGCUCUGCCCACUAAAGAGCCACUUCUAAUUUAAGAGAAAAUAUUUUCCUAAGUGUGGUCAAGAGGGAAGUUUGUGUUGUGGUGGAAAUAGCUGGGAUAGGCUCUGUGGAGUGAAUUAGGGAAUCAUGUGAAUGAAAUCUGGAAAUAUCAGCCUUCCUCUGUAUUACCCUCUGCUCUUCCCUCCUCCCUCCCAACACAGAAGCCACUGUGUUCUUCAAAUGAGAUAAUAUUAAACCACCUCUUACUCCAGAAAUAGUUGGGCUACAAUACAGAAUAGGGAUGCAACUCUGCUGUCAUAUGGCAAAUCAUCCCACCUGCCAUUCCUGAUGGGGAUCUGUGGAGAAACACAAGGCCUGUGGCUCUGUCUGAGAUGGAUAGCAGUGAGUUGAUCAGUAAUUGCAGAUGAACAUAAAUUGGGAAAAAAGAACUGCAAGUCUGUUAGUUUUAGUUCUUCUAAAGAGGUCUUUGCUAAUGCUGGUACUUUUUCCCCUGUUGUUUUCCUAAAACUGUCCUAGCAUUCCAUCAAAUCUUUUACUGUUGCCUCUCUAAUGUUAAAGGUUGGACUUGAUGAUCUUAGAGGUCUUUUCCAACCUAAACAAUUCUAUGAUUCUAUUCUAAAUUUCCCUUUUGGGAGUUUAAUUAGGGUAAAUGGUGAAAUCACAGUACUAUAGUGGCAGGAGGGUAUUCAGUGAAGGACUAGAUGUGUUUUCAGCUUUCAGAGUGAGAGGUGAUCCAGCAGCAGAUGGGACAG